AGAGUUUGAUCCUGGCUCAGGAUGAACGCUAGCUACAGGCUUAACACAUGCAAGUCGAGGGGCAGCAUGAACUUAGCUUGCUAAGUUUGAUGGCGACCGGCGCACGGGUGAGUAACACGUAUCCAACCUUCCGUUUACUCAGGGAUAGCCUUUCGAAAGAAAGAUUAAUACCUGAUAGUAUGGUGAGAUUGCAUGAUAACACCAUUAAAGAUUUAUUGGUAAACGAUGGGGAUGCGUUCCAUUAGGUAGUAGGCGGGGUAACGGCCCACCUAGCCAACGAUGGAUAGGGGUUCUGAGAGGAAGGUCCCCCACAUUGGAACUGAGACACGGUCCAAACUCCUACGGGAGGCAGCAGUGAGGAAUAUUGGUCAAUGGGCGAGAGCCUGAACCAGCCAAGUAGCGUGAAGGAUGACUGCCCUAUGGGUUGUAAACUUCUUUUAUAUGGGAAUAAAGUGAGCCACGUGUGGCUUUUUGUAUGUACCAUACGAAUAAGGAUCGGCUAACUCCGUGCCAGCAGCCGCGGUAAUACGGAGGAUCCAAGCGUUAUCCGGAUUUAUUGGGUUUAAAGGGAGCGUAGGCGGAUUAUUAAGUCAGUUGUGAAAGUUUGCGGCUCAACCGUAAAAUUGCAGUUGAUACUGGUUUCCUUGAGUGCAGUUGAGGCAGGCGGAAUUCGUGGUGUAGCGGUGAAAUGCUUAGAUAUCACGAAGAACUCCGAUUGCGAAGGCAGCCUGCUGGACUGUAACUGACGCUGAUGCUCGAAAGUGUGGGUAUCAAACAGGAUUAGAUACCCUGGUAGUCCACACAGUAAACGAUGAAUACUCGCUGUUUGCGAUAUACAGUAAGCGGCCAAGCGAAAGCGUUAAGUAUUCCACCUGGGGAGUACGCCGGCAACGGUGAAACUCAAAGGAAUUGACGGGGGCCCGCACAAGCGGAGGAACAUGUGGUUUAA
rnacentral:rRNA from 1 species